UGUUGAAAAUCCUCACUCGGUGAGGGAAAAAAAUUUUCAGUCACGGUGGAAAGUGAACGUGUGGGAAGGAAUAGUGAGUGACCGAGUCCUACUUUCCCAGCUACCGGAUUAUGUGAAUGGUCAACAGUACCUCGCAUUAAUCACGCAGACUCUUCCUGAAAUGCUGCACGAUGUACCACUUGCAGGUAGACCUCGGUGGUUCCAGCAGGAUGGAGCACCCCCUCACUGUGCUCGAGACGUCACCGCCUUUUUAAAUGCUCAGUUCCCUGGACGUUGGUUCGGUCGUUAUGGCCCACUUCACUGGCCUGCACGAUCCCCGGACUUGACGCCGCUAGACUUCUUCCUUUGGGGCUAUCUAAAGGACCAAGUCUACGAGACCGAGCCGGAGACCGUGGAGGAAUUGGUGGCUCG